rnacentral:tRNA from 1 species
UUCCUUUUAGUAUAAAUUUUACAUUUAACUUCCAAUUAAAUAAUCUCUUCAAGAGAUAGGAAA